AGAACUGCCUGAAGGAAGCCUGGGAGUUGUCAGCGACCAGGGACACCUGGCAGUGACUCUGUUUAUCAUCUUUUCUUUAUUUCAGAAAGGGAUCCUUCUUCAGGGGUGGAGGGCUUCUCCCAGGGAGGAAUUUGGGAGCACAAACAAAGCUCUAAAGAUGGAGGGUGAGGAUGGCAGGAAGAGGGAGGGCUCCCAGGGACUUUCUCCAUGUGCUCACCUCCGGUUGGUCUUAGUUUGUGAUCUGAGAUUAGAACUGCAUCCACUUGUCUUUGCCAAAAGCAGCAACUGCUGUACUGCUAACCUGGACUCUCAGGAAAGAAGCAGAUCUAGUUUGGGCAAAAGGAUGAGAAAAUCACAGCCUUAAGAAUACUGUUCCUUAUUUGUGCCCUUUAAGGGAAAUAAGAGUACCUGGGAUUGAGACAGCUGGUGUUUGAUUCUGACGUGCCACUACAUCACUAUGUGAUACUGAACUUGGUCUCUCACUUGUAGCGUGGUGCAUCCUUUGAUACACACGCACACGCGCGCGCACACACACACACACACACACACACACACACACACACACACACACUGUAGUUAAGCUGUAUUCCUCAGAACAAGCCACCCUGCAUAUGUAAAAGACUCUGUUGAGAUGUCCCAGGCUCUGGGACCCGGUGAAAUCAGAACCUCUAGGGUGUAUCUUCAGCAUGCCUGCUUUAUAAGCUCUCCAAGGAGAUUUUAAUGCCUAAGCAGGCUGGAUCAUCGUCUUUCCAAUCAGGAGUGCUCAGAGUGCUUUCAAAUCAGGGAAGGGCACAGCAGCAGCAGCAGCAGCAGCAGCAGCUCUGUCAAAUCUGAGAGCUAACGAGCAAUGACACUUAUCAGUCACCACAGGAGAAGUAGAAAGCUGGGGGAAGGGGAGGGCAAGGGACCUCUGGGAGCAUGUAAGCGAUAAGGAUGCUGGGAUGCAUGCUGCGGGCUCACGUCUGAAGGUGGGUCUUACAUUUGAAGAGUGAGGCUUCCCUAUGGCUAUUCCAGCUUAGUGGAUCCAGUGAUUCCCGUGAUGGUAAAGGGCUGUGAACACAGAUGUCACCCUACUUUCUGACCUAAGCUUUUAAUGCCCAUGCAGGACACUCCUCUUUCUCUGCCAGAUAGACCUUGAGAUGCUAAUUCGAAAGGAAGCUAGCAGCAAGAUGGUCUAUGAAUCACUUGAGAAUGUGAAUGGAAAACAGAUAAAAGGGUGAUCUUUAUAAAGAUGUAUUGGAGAAUGUGGUUCAGUUUCAUGCAUAUCCUAAUAGUAGCUACAUGUUUUGAUCCUGGUUCGACCACAUCUCCUCCCAAAACUUGUCCAGACCUUUGCAGAUGUGUUUGUAAGCAUGUACAGCAAUUACUACCUCCAUGCUUCUUCUUGGUGAGUUGCAGAAUUAAUAAAAACCUUUGUCUGGUGGAGCUAGCCCAUGGAGGGCAAGGCAGAACUGUCCCCUGGCAAGCAUGCAGGCUUAUGAGAAAUUUCGGCAGGGACUGGGCCAACUCUACCCAGUUCUUUUGUUCUAGGAUCAUUUACCACUUGGAUCACUUGGCCCAUGGCAAGGAGUUACUAAGGACAGAUUCUUUGUAGAAUUUACAGAGUGAGCAUCUUUGGGGCUAAAAGACAUUCUGGAAAGAUGAGAAGAGGAACUGGUUAUCCUGGAGAAGUGCUGGAAAGAUGUGAGGUGGAUCUGGUGCUGCUGGAAAAAUGUUGGAAAGAAAGAAGGAAUCAGGUCCUUAUCUGUGUCUUCUCUGUCCUUUUGUUUGGGAGUCAGCACAUUUGGCCUGCUUGCUUCUUACCCCGCUGGCCUUAGAUUUGGACCAUGUGACCUGGCCACAGUGGAGAAUUCCAUUGGAUGAUUUGGAGGACACAAUAAGAAACUAUGCCCACGUACAUGCUGAAAUUGCAAGGCAAAUGUAUCCUAAAGGUGAAACCUUGGCCCUCACGAAGACUGGCAGAUCCUGAGCUGUGUUGGAGAAACUCGUUUUCACAAACGAGCAAACCCUUUCUUCCCAGACAGAACCUCACAUUGCUCCUUACAGCUCCUCCUCAUGCUUUUUCCAAAAUGAAGCUGAUCAACUGCGGGUGUGAACGACAGAUCCCUACAACUUUACAGUAAGCUCAAUCCUGGGGAAAGGGCUAGCUUUACCGCUGCCAUUGAAGAGGCCGUCUCUUCUAGGGAUGAGAGCAGACUAGAUUAGAAGGCAGUAUUUUUCUUCCCAGACACCAUCUUCAGAGGUUAUGACCCCAGUGCAUAUAGUGAAACACACUUGUUCUUGUUCUGUCUCUACCACUGAGUGAUUGCAUUCAACACUUAAAAUAGUAUUUAUUCUUCACUUAGAGUAUUAUUCUUCACUUACAGUAAAAUGAGGUACAUAGAAAUGUAUGUGUCUGUGUGUUCAUGUAUGUACCUGGGCAUGUGUGUCUGUGCUUGU